CACCGCCAACAGAAUUGUCAGACACUACUAAACUGGUCCAAGACAUCCUUGGGGCGGACUCACCUGUUCUGGCUGGCAUCCCUGGCGGCUUAGAGAGUGAAGCGACUCAACCAGAGGAAUAUAACACGGAACCUUUCCAGCAAUCAAAGCAGCUUCAACACCGACAGAGCGCCAGCAGUACGCCAAUCCAGGCAGCAAAAAAGACGCAAAUACCCUCUCCAGCCUCUACAAGAGAAGUAGUGCUGGAACUGCAGAGAGACGUCCUACAGCUACAAAAGACAAAACUGCAAUUAGAGAU